rnacentral:rRNA from 1 species
CCUACGGGAGGCAGCAGUGAGGAAUAUUGGUCAAUGGGCGCGAGCCUGAACCAGCCAAGUAGCGUGAAGGAUGACUGCCCUACGGGUUGUAAACUUCUUUUGUCAGGGAGCAAAGGGCGCCACGUGUGGCGUUUUGCGAGUACCUGAAGAAAAAGCAUCGGCUAACUCCGUGCCAGCAGCCGCGGUAAUACGGAGGAUGCGAGCGUUAUCCGGAUUUAUUGGGUUUAAAGGGUGCGCAGGCGGAAUGUCAAGUCAGCGGUAAAAUUUCGGGGCUCAACCCCGUCGUGCCGUUGAAACUGGGGUUCUUGAGUGAGCGAGAAGUAUGCGGAAUGCGUGGUGUAGCGGUGAAAUGCAUAGAUAUCACGCAGAACUCCGAUUGCGAAGGCAGCAUACCGGCGCUCAACUGACGCUCAUGCACGAAAGCGUGGGUAUCGAACAGGAUUAGAUACCCUUGUAGUC